GCGCACCAUCCCGACUCGCCGUCCGUCACUCCAGAUGAGGUGUGUGGGUGGUGGUGCCAAGUAGGCAGAGUCCCAGCAGCAGGACGGGCGGCAGGGCAGCAGCAGGUGGCAGCAGGCGGAGCAGCGGCAGCAGGAGGGGGUGGUGGAGGGGAGGGGGAGGAGGAGGGGAGGUAGAUGAAGGUGUGGGGGGCCGAUCUCACCACACCGCACUCGCAACACACGACGACCGCAGGCGCAGCGGCGGCGGCGGCGGCGGCAUCCUCAAGGGUCCGUAGUCCACCAUGGGGUCUGAACAGCACUACUCCCUGCGGUGGAACGACUACACGGUCAAGAUAGUGACGGCCUUCCAGUCGCUGCGGGACGAGGAGGACUUUGUGGACGUCACUGUGGCCUGCGACGGACACUCCUACUCCGCGCAUAAGAUGGUGCUCUCCGCUUGCUCCCCUUACUUCCGCUCUCUCUUGAGGGCUAACCCAUGCCAGCACCCUAUAGUGAUACUGAAGGAUGUGGGCCACGUGGAGCUGGAGAGACUGCUAGAGUUCAUGUACAACGGGGAGGUGAGCAUCGCGCAAGACCAACUCGCUGCGUUCCUUAAGACUGCAGAAAACCUCAAAAUCCGUGGCCUGGCCGGUUCCUCAGACGAAAUGGAUCAGGCUGGGGUGAGUGACUAUGUGCACCGGCCAGAUGUGUCAUACAGUUACAGCAGUAGCUCGGCGCUGGGGGGUGGCGUCACCUCAGACAGGAGCAGCCCCUCCGCCGGUUACGCCCCCAGCCAGAGCUCCAAGGACGACGAGAUGGUGGGGGAAGGCUACCACCGUGGUGACUCCCCCCCUGCCAAGAGACGGAAGCGGUCCUCUGCGCCUGCUGCUACUUCUGCUGCUGGCCAUGCUGACUCCACGCCUGCUAGUCACACCACAGAAGGUGUGGCCGGUGACUCUUCUGUGGAGGUAGACUCUGGAGGUACAAUGGGUGGUGGUGGCCUGUCGGGGGAUGACGAUGGCCGGCUCGACCGAAGAGAGAUGAAAAGUGAACCAGGUGAUGCCAUGGCUGAUGUGUACAGUGAAUCUUCUGAGAUGAGUACUGACCCCCAAUCACACUCUGCCAUCCCUGGGCCCUCCGGAGCAGCGGGCAGCCAGGAGGGUGGAAGCAGACACGAGUCGGGUGAUGUGUCCGCCUUGAUGGCUAUCGCUAACGCCGUGCAGGCCACGGCGCCGUCGGACCGGCCCAUGAAGUGCCCGCUGUGCCUGGGCAUCAUCAAGCAGGCGCGCAACCUUCGGCGGCACGUGUUCAAGCGACACCUGCCAGCGGCCAGGCGCGGCGAGAUCACGGAGGCGGACGUAAAGAACGUGCUGGAGAGCAAACUGAAGGCCAUCACCGUCACGCCGCUCACCGAGGACGAGCUGCGACAGGUGCAGCAGCGCGGCAGGCGCAAAGGAUCCAAGUCCUCCAAGAAGAAGAAAGGUAUUGCGGCGCUGCCUGACGGCGUCAACGGCGCCAACAUCAACGAGUCCGAGGUGACCAUCCGCAAGCUGCCGCAGAAGAAGGACGGCAAGAAGGACAAGGGAGGGGGCGGCGGGGCGGCCUCGCCGGGCUCCACGGUGGGCGGGGAUGGCGCCCGCGAGGGUCGCGAGGACAUCCUGCAGGAGGCGCUGGCGGCGCGGGACAAGAAUGUGGGCCAGGACGAGGUGAUGGACCUGGCCACCAAUCCCCAGCAGCUGCCACCCAUCUCCGUGGUGGUGUCCCACGCCGGCCACUCCGCCACGCAGGCCGCCGCGCAGACCAUGAGCCUGGCGUCCGGCAUACACCCGCGGAUCCCGGCGGAGGCGGCGCUGGGGGCGGCGGGCGUACGCCUACAAACCGACUCGCCGCUGUCCCUGCACCGAGACCUGCCGGCCAUGCCCGCCAUGGCCUUCGAGCCCCAGGUGACCAUCAGCGAGGGCAUGGUGACGUACCACACCACCUCGCCCUCGCAGGUGCUCACGCAGACCACCUCGCCCUCCCCCUCCGCCUCGGGCUACGCGCCGGCCUCCUACUGGUCCCCGUCCGGCAUGGGCCUGUCCGCCAGCACCUUCCAGCCCCAUCAGAGCGUGUUCGCGCCCGCGCACUCGGAGUACUUCACUGCGGGCGUGGGCGUGCACAUGGCGCGCCCCUCCUCGCUGGAGCGGAUGCAGCAGCACCGUCGGAAGCCCUACCAGUAGUAGGGGGGGAGCGGCGCCCCCUAGUGUAGAGUACAACCAUUUUUAUAGAGCAAGGACGGCAGUGUGUGUGUCCAGUUAUCCUAGUUGGUAUUGAUGGUACAACUGUAUUAUAUGACUGGCAUUAGUGUUUCUAUCUGUGCUUCUUUCUCGUCUCCUGGAAGCAAGGACGCCCGCGUGCACGGCGGGACCACCCGUGUGUGUGUGUCGGUGUGCGUGUGCGUGUGUCUGUGUGUGUGUGUGGCGUAGAGAGAGAGAGAGAGAGAGAGAGAGAGAGAGAGAGAGAGAGAGAGAGAGAGAGAGAGACUAACCGUGUAUAUGUAUAAUGUCGAAAUACAAAAAAUACUGUCUAUAUAAUGAGAGAGAGAGAGAGAGAGAGAGAGAGAGAGAGAGAGAGAGAGAGAGAGAGAGAGAGAAGCAGUGGCGGCUUCUGCCAGCAGGGAGCAGUAACACUCAGAAAGGAGCAGCAGCAGCAGUCAGCAGCAGCAGCAGCGACACGUAGUGGCCAAGGUGGAGGUGGUGGUGGUGGUGAUGGCGGCAGGUCUCUCUCCACUCUCGCCUCUCGCUCUCCUUCUCGCCGCUGUGUUCCAUUCUUCACACUCGUUUCCCAGUUUUCUCGUUAGUGAGGCAGGACAAGGCGUGACGGACGAGGUGUGGGUGUCCUGUGUUCCGUUCCGUCACUGUCCACCCAUCACAGUCACAACAGCACAGGUCAAUGUUCCGUAGCGCCGCCAGUUUGUCCUUCACUUAGUGCUUACUGAGGAAUCAUUUACUAUUUUGUAAUAAAAGUUAAUCCUAUC